AGGACGAACGCUGGCGGCGUGCUUAACACAUGCAAGUCGAGCGGAAAGGCCCUUCGGGGUACUCGAGCGGCGAACGGGUGAGUAACACGUGAGUAAUCUGCCCUUAGCUCUGGGAUAGCUCCGGGAAACCGGGAUUAAUACCAGAUACGACCACACUAGACAUCUUCUGUGGUGGAAAGAAUUUCGGCUAGGGAUGAACUCGCGGCCUAUCAGCUUGUUGGUGAGGUAACGGCUCACCAAGGCGACGACGGGUAGCCGGCCUGAGAGGGCGACCGGCCACACUGGGACUGAGACACGGCCCAGACUCCUACGGGAGGCAGCAGUGGGGAAUAUUGCGCAAAUGGGCGAAAGCCUGACGCAGCGACGCCGCGUGGGGGAUGAAGGCCUUCGGGUUGUAAACCCUUUCAGCAGGACGAAGCGAAAGUGACGGUACUGCAGAAGAAGCGCCGGCAACUACGCGCCAGCAGCCGC
rnacentral:rRNA from 1 species